UUUGCAGGAGCUUUCUAUGGAAAGGUAAUGAAACAAGCAGCAAGAUGGGGAGAUGAGGGGGUUGGUUGCUUGGCAACAGGUGUGUAAAACCUAAAUGUAAGAUCUAAUUACCGUAAAAUUUCUGCACUUGACUUAUUUUUUUAAAUAUAUAAUUUUUUAACUUUUACAAAUAAUUUCUGUAUUUUAGUUUUUUUUUUAAAUUUAUAAAUCUAAUAAUCGUGAAUAUAGAGAAAUUUUUAAAUAGAUUAAAUUUUAAUUUAGUAAAUAAAUAACGUAAUAAACUGAAUUUAUCUAAAAACCAAGAGUGUAAUAAGACUAAUGCUCAGCAAAUUACUAUCAAAACGGUGAAUUUGGAUACAUGCAGCAGAACUCCUCCUUCUUCCUCAACAGAAUCCAGGUAAAAGAAUAAAAACCAUAAACUUAAAAAGAUUCAGAUUCUCAUCCAAGAACUUACAGCUCUCACUGCUCAUUUCACUUUCUUACAGCAAUCCCUGGCCCUAAAAAAUCUCAAUCCCAUAUUCUUUUUUCUUUUUUUGGAAAAAAGAAACAACUCAGUACCUAGAUUUAAAUUUUCAAUCUUUACAAUUAAAUUCCAAUAACAGCCUACUGAAAAACAGAAUUCACGAUCUCAUAGAAGACUGCACCGCCGGAGAAGACGGCAAUGGCAUCGAAGAAAAAGAGGUUAACCGUUCCUCUCAACCGCUGCUGGAAAUGGAUUCGUUCUUGAUUCUCAAGACGAAACGAAGAUUCGCACUUGAUAACAUAUUCAAGAUCAGAUUCCGACAAAUUAAACGAGCUUUUAAUAUUGGAUCAGAAAAAUAACUUAGAAAAGUGGUGCCUCAAGUCGGAGAUUUUGCAGCGCACGUCGUGAAGAUAAAGAAACAAAAACUUAGAAGAAGACUUCAUUGCUCAAAAUCUUUUGAUCUCCUAUCAAAGUUCUUGAGCUCUGCCCAUUUAAUAGAUCACCAUUCAACUUGUGUUUUGGCAUAAAUUGCUGUUGGUCUGCUAAUAAUAUAUGCUGGCCAGCUUCAAGAAAUAUGUGUUUAAGCAAGUUAAAAGAGAUUGUUUUUCUGGAAUGUUUUUAAUAGAUGGCAUAAUGGCCAAGUCUAUUUGUCUUUUCCUAGUUUUGUUGGUUAAGUGUCAUUGUAUAUUGACUUGUAUUUUGUAUAGUUUGAAACUAAUGUAAUAAUAUAAGGUUGGAGUUAUUUAUGCCAUUAUCUAGCUAUAGUUACAUAGUUUUUUUUUUUUUUUUGUUU